UAUAUAUACACACACAUAUACAUAUAUAUAUAUAUAUAUAUAAACUGGAGAGCACUUGAAAUCUUUACAUUUCUCUGGGAACACCAAAAAAAAAAAUUCCAAUUUAUAUAAAGUAAAGCAAAACUUUUGAAUGUUUAGAUCUCACCUCCAUGGCAGUUGGCUCCAAAAUCUCUAUUAAAUUCCUUCAAACUCUCCUUCAAAUCUCACUUCUCUCUUCCCCUUCCAAAUAUAACUUCCACUCUUUCCUGGGAGUGCAGGGAGGCUGGUUAAGCACACGGGCUUCGGGGCACAACUUGCUGAGUUUAAAUUUAGUCCUGUCACUGUCUAACUUGGGCAGGUACUUGGCACAUGGUAAGCACUCAAUACAUGUAAUCCAUUGUUGUUACUGUUAUUAGUAUUCUUCAAAUCCUGUUGGCUUCUCCAAUAUUUUUUUUCACUUAGCCCACUUUUCCAUCCAUGCAGCAAGGAAAGUGUAUUCAUUUCCCAGGGGUGCCAUAAGAAAUUAUCACAAACUUGGGGGCUUAAAACCAUAGAAAUCGAUGUCCCCACAGUUCUGGAGGCCAGAAGUCCAAAAUCAAGGUAGCGGCGGGGCCACGCCCCCUCCAAAGGCUCUCCCUGAGAUUCAAUUCAGUUCCUCGCCUCCUCCAGCCUCUGGUGGCUUUUAGCAUUCCUUGGGUCGUGGCUGCGUCACCCCAAUCCCUGCCUCUGUCUCCACGUGGCCUUCCCCUGGCCUCUCUUGUCUGUGUCUCUUCCAAAGACACUUGUCGCGUUGGAGUUAAGGCCCACCCAGAUAAUCUGGGAUGAUCUCAUUUCGAGAACCGUAACUUAAUUACAUCUGCAAAGACCAUUUUCCCAAAUAAGUUCUUAUUCACAGAUUCUGAGGAAGGGUGGGUGUACACGGAUAUAUUUGUGGGGGUGCAUUUAUCCCGCUACAAAAUGACACUGGGUCCUUCUACUUGUGGAUGGUGGGUGGGGAGAGGGUUGAACACUCCUGUAAUUCCUUCUUUUUUUUUUUUUUCCUUUUCUCCUUGUCAGGCUGAAUAUAUCGAGUCAGCAGCCAGCAUCAGGUACCUGGGAAUGAGGAAGGAAAGACAGGCAGAUGGCAAAGGGGCCUGUCAACUUCUCCUUUUCACUGACACUCACGCCACUCUUUCAUUUACAACCACAGAAUACCUAACUGCAAGAACUGCCGCAUCCCUGGUGGUCUGACCGUGUCUCUGAGCUAAGCAGCAGAUUUCAGCCACAGGGUCUGACUCUCAGGCAGACACAUCCUGUCCAAGGACUGGAGACAGAGCAUCCGUUCUCCCACCCAGAGCGGUCAGCUGCAUGUGGCUGGUUGGGGGCGGUUCAGACAGAAACGGCCCAAGAGAAAUGGAAAUAUGAUGGCUGGUUGAUUGUUUCGCAGUCUGCAUGACAGACCACCCUCCUAACAAGACUCUAGGUCAAGUGCUCUUCUCUGCCCUGUGGAUCUACUGGGGAGAAAUUAGCUCUCGGUGGUAUUUCCAAUUACGGAGAAAAGCGAUUCCUCUCUGGUCUGGCUAUCAUGUGUUUUGCAGUGGACCAAGAGACAUGAAGCCCGUUUUCCACCCUCAUCUCUUUCUCCAUCUAGCUGCAUGACCUUGGGAGGUGGCGUGACCUCUCGGCUUCUUUGCUGCCUCAUCUGUCAGGAUCCACCUUUACUACUUCAUAGCCAUGUUCUAGGAUAAAUAAGAGAAGCCUCUACAUCUUUUAGUCUCCCAGAAAGACUGGAACCAGUGAUGAGUUCCAUGAAGACAAAGACCUGUUCAUCUUGUUCUGCCCCAGCACCGAGCAGGUGCAGUGGCUUAUGCCUGUUAUCCCAGAACUUUGGGAGGCUGAGUCAGGAGGAUCACUUAAGGCCAGUUCAAGACCAGCCUGGGAAACAUAGCAAGAGCCUGUCUCUAUUGGGGAAAAAAAAAAAAGGUAAUAAAUAAAAUGCUUAAUUUUAUAUUAUGUCGA